UCUGAUUUGGCUCCGGGCUUUGUUUGCGCAGGAUAGGUGGGAGGCGUUGAAGAUUUUCUUGCGGGGAGAUUGGAGCCGUUGGUGAGAUACCACUCUAACAAUGCUAGGAUUCUAACCCUAUACCGUUAUCCGGUUAGGGGACAGUUUCAGGUGGUCAGUUUGACUGGGGCGGUCGCCUCCCAAAAGGUAACGGAGGCGUGCAAAGGUUUCCUCAGGCUGGUCGGAAAUCAGUCGUAGAGUGUAAAGGCAUAAGGAGGCUUGAUUGUGAGACCUACAAGUCGAACAAAGACGAAAGUCGGCCUUAGUGAUCCGGCGGUACCGAGUGGAAGGGCCGUCGCUCAACGGAUAAAAGUUACUCUAGGGAUAACAGGCUGAA
rnacentral:rRNA from 1 species